GUAGAGACGAGGUUUCAGCAUGUUGGUCAGGCUGGUCUUGAACUCCCGACCUCAUGAUCCACCUGCCUGGGCCUCCUGAAGUGCUGGGAUUACAGGCGUGGCCACCGCGCCCGGCCGAAGUUCCACGCUUUUAACACACUCACAACUAGUCCUUUUAAAAAAACAGUAAAAUUUUAUUUAUUAUGCAAUCAUUUCCAAAGUAGACAGAGAAAUAGAUCAGAUAUCCCAACUGUAUUGACUACAGAAAAUAGUCACAACCACUUCAUAGAAAUUGUACUGUUUUUCCUAAAUUAACAGCAUCUCUGUAGACCCACCUCACCUGCCCCUC
rnacentral:lncRNA from 1 species